rnacentral:lncRNA from 1 species
UAUCUCCUCUUGUGAUGUCUAACAGAUUUGAAGUAGGGACAAUUAGGUGGGCUGAUCAUCCUCUGGAUGAAGGGGGAACUAGUAAAACUCAAUGAAGUGGAUCUUUUGGAAUAUUAGGGGUGUAAAUAAAAGGUUUAAACAAAAAGAAGCUCAAAAUUAAUUUAGAAAUAAUAAGUUUGACCUUGUAGGACUUGUAGAGACUAAGGUUAAACAACACAAUGCUAGUA